GGUUGAUCCUGCCAGUAGUCAUAUGCUUGUCUUAAAGAUUAAGCCAUGCAAGUGUAAGUACGGCCCUUCCAUUGUGGGGGCGAGACUGCGGACGGCUCAUUAAAUCAGUUAUGAUUCCCAGGAGCCAGCGAAAUCUACUUGGAUAACUGUGGCAAUUCUAGAGCUAAUACACGCUACUGAAGCUUCGUCGCCGCCUUCCUCGUGGAGGUGGCAGGAGCGCACUUGUUAGCCUCAAACCAAUCGGGUGUCUGCCGUCCGCGACGGUCGUUGUUUCAGCGGCCGCAGGGCGGUGGCGCGCCGGUACCUUUGGUGAAUUCUGGACAACUUUGCCGAUCGCAUGGCCUUUGCGCCGGCGACAUAUCUUUCAAGUGUCUGACCUAUCACACUAGAUGGUUUGCGCUCUGCGCACCAUGGUGACAACGGGUGACGGGGAAUCAGGGUUCGAUUCCGGAGAGGGAGCAUGAGAAACGGCUGCCACAUCCAAGGAAGGCAGCAGGCACGCAACUUACCCAAUGCCGAGACGGCGAGGUAGUGACGAAAAAUAACAAUACGGGACCCUCUUUACGAGUUCCCGCAAUUGAAAUGAGUACAUUCUAAACCCUUUAACGAGGAUCAAUUGGAGGGCAAGUCUGGUGCCAGCAGCCGCGGUAAUUCCAGCUCCAAUAGCGUAUGUCAAAGUUGUUGCGGUUGAAAAGCUCGUAGUUGGAUCUCGAUGUAGGGCUGGCGGUGCGCCCGUAGUGGCGUUUUCUACUGCCAGUGCCUGCGAUAAAUAGAGGCCGGCGGACUUGUUCCCUUGGUGCUCUUGACUGAGCGGCUUGGGUGGCCGGAACGUUUACUGUGAAAAAAUUAGAGUGCUCAAGGCAGGCCUACGUGCCCGAAUACUGGUGCAUGGAAUAAUAGAGGAUGACCUCGGCGCCACGUUUGUUGGUUUACGGUGCUCGAGGUAAUGAUUGAGAGGGACGGCCGGGGGCCUACGUACUGCGGCGCGAGAGGUGAAAUUCUGUGACCGUCGCAGGACGAACGAAAGCGAAAGCAUUUGCCAAGAAUGUUUUCCUUAAUCAAGAACGAAAGUCAGAGGUUCGAAGACGAUCAGAUACCGUCGUAGUUCUGACCGUAAACUAUGCCAACUGACCCUCCGCCGUUGGUUGCUUUAUUGACUGGGCGAGGAGCCUCCGGGAAACCAAAGUCUUUGGGUUCCGGGGGGAGUACGGUUGCAAAGCUGAAACUUAAAGGAAUUGACGGAAGGGCACCACAAGGGGUGGAGCCUGUGGCUUAAUUUGACUCAACACGGGAAACCUCACCCGGUCCGGACACUGGAAGGAUUGACAGACUAACGCUCUUUCUUGAUUCAGUGGGUGGUGGUGCAUGGCCGUUCUUAGUUGGUGGAACGAUUUGUCUGGUUAAUUCCGAUAACGAACGAGACUCUCGCCUGCUAAAUAGUUCGGGGACGCCUUACUACUAGCGCGUCGCCCGCUAGAACUUCUUAGAGGUACAAGUGGCGUUUAGCCACACGAAACGGAGCAAUAACAGGUCUGUGAUGCCCUUAGAUGUCCGGGGCCGCACAUGUGCUACAUUGGGUGCACCAGCGUGUAUCAUACUCGCCCGAAAGGGUAGGGGAAUCCGCUGAACCGCAUUCUCGGUUGGGAUUGGGGAUUGCAAUUAUUUCCCAUGAACGCGGAAUCCCUAGUAGGCGCCAGUCAUCAGCUGGCGUCGAUUCAGUCCCUGCCCUUUGUACACACCGCCCGUCGCUACUACCGAUCGCUCUUGUUAAUGAGCCUGUCGGAUGGGACCCGGUGAGCGGGCCUUCGGGCCUGCGAGCUCUGGUGUUUGCCUAGAAGACCGGCGAAUUAUCCGGGGUAGAGGAAGUAAAAGUCGUAACAAGGUAUCCGUAGGUGAACCUGCGGAUGGAUCAUUACCGAAUGAAAAUUCGAAUCACGUACAAAAAAAAGCGUUUCCUUUUCUCCUGAUGCAUGUUGAGAAGCUCCUGGGUACCCGCCUCGUGUGUCGUCGGGGAAAAGAGAAACUGCAAAACCCAAAAAAUUCACUGCCUUAACCUCCCAAUCCUUUUGAGAAUACGGAGCUUCUGGAGUGCUGUUCGCCGGAAGCAACCUUCCACCGUAAAGAACAGGAAAACCAACACUUUUGAGAACACGGUGCUUCUGGAGUGCUGUUUCGCCGGAAGCAACUUUACACCGUAAUGAACAGCUACAAACUCCUCUGUGCGGUGGAUCACUCGGCUCGUGUGUCGAUGAAGAGCGCAGCGAGCUGCGAGAAGUAAUGUGAAUUGCAGAACCACAAUGAAACAUCGACAUCUUGAACGCACAUGGCGGCCUCUGGGUCACUCCGGAGGCCACGCCUGUCUGAGGGUCGGCUUUGUCUAGUCUUCUCGCCCAGCGGUAUAUUCUUUAUACGAGCUGGCGGGUCUUGGCGGUGCAGUGGUCUAUUUUUUCGGUACCUGGACCGCUUCGCCCGCCCGAUCAACUGCUGGCUUUUUUUAGUCGGCGCAGACGACUGGGGACUUGGCCUUUCUGCCGAGGACGAACGCUGAGGUUUUAUCAAAGCUUUGUCCGGGAUGCGGAACGGGCUGUCCCACUAGCUCGGAGCCCGACCUCAGAUCAGGCGGGAUUACCCGCUGAACUUAAGCAUAUCAAUAAGCGGAGGA
rnacentral:rRNA from 1 species